rnacentral:lncRNA from 12 species
CUUGUCCAAGAAAUAAUUCUCCCUCCCCCUUAAGCUAAUACUUUGAUAAGCUCAGUACAGUGAUCCUGAUUUGGAGCGUGACCUUUGAAAAUGCUCUCCAGCUUGAUUAAAGAUGUAUUAAAUUUGUUUAAAUAAACCUCGUUGUAAUGGCACAUCAUUUGUAAGAAGCUAUUAGGGGGCUGGAAACUGUGCUGCUGUAUUUGCAUGAAAAUGUGCCCUGCUCGAAUUGAGGAUCUCUCCUGAAUUAACUGCAAAGGGAAAGUGACACUUUCAUAAUUUUUUCUGACAAAAAAAAAAAAAAGAAGAAGAAGAAGAAGAAAGAAAGAAAGGAGAAAAGGAAGUAAGGAAAGGAGGAAAGGAAGAAUGACUUGAUGCAAAGCUCUGCAAAUGAAGGGAGAACUGGGUGGGAACAACAGAGCCAAGCUCAGUCUGAUGGGCACCCUUGAUGUUCUCAGGGUGUUCGGUUAAAGGCGAUCAAUAAUAUUUAUCUGCCAAUUACUUUGCUUCCAGAAUGGCUUCAUCUUUGAGUCUGUGUGUGUGAGCACACGGAUUGCUUGAGAGUAACCAGAUCCAUAAGGAUGUUCAAAAGAAAGCUUGUAUUGUCCUAUGUCUUGAAGUUCCACGACUGGAGCCCCCUCCCUGGCUUCAAUUUUGGUGCGGUCUCUGCAAAGGUAAUGCUCCCUGGGUUUGUGGAGAAGCUUAAGCACCCGAAUGCCCCCACCCACCACUCCCAAAUGAAGUAUAUAGUUGCCAGAUGUACCGUAAUUCCUGCCAAUGGCUCCUAAAUGAGCUGCCACUCAUAAAAGAAGGGAAAAAAAAAAAAAAAGGUCUCUCCUUUAAAUCAAAUAUUAAAUUAAAACCUUUCCCACUGUCUUGUAGGAGUCCUGGUUCCAGGCCAUCUGCCAAUUUGCAGGAGCUCCAGCCUCUUCUGAGUUACCGUUUUCUGAUCAAAUCAGGCACAGCCAAUCGAUCCUUCAUCCUCUCCUCAACUUCCCAGAAGACUGCAAGUCCUUAGAGUAUAGAAGCUCUCCUGAUGCUGCUCCCAGACCGUGACCCAUGCUGGCAAAGCUUCUGCUCCCAUGUGGCCGCAUGUUUCACGAGGAGAGCUACUAAAAUGCAGGCAAGCACAAAGUCUUAAUUGCUUGCUAGUGGGCAUUCAGCCAACAUGCUGUUAGCAGAAUGAAACCCAAUCUUAAAGAAAAAGUGCUGAACCCCUGCUCUGGAUCACCCAGCCCCAUAUGGAAUGCACGUGUUUUUUGAGGAGAUUUAGGCAUGAAGAUCUUUUUUUCCACUCUUUUGCAUGGGGAUGUCAAUCUAUGGUUUGCUAAAACAUUUUAUUCUUACUGUAAUAAUCCUGUCUGCAGACAACUUUAAGAGACAACUCUAUACUUCCUCUCCCAACUUAUGACAUGGACAAUUAAUAUAUUCUCAAUUUCUUGUUCCACUCUGAGAACAUUACUUUCAGUCUUCUUUGCAACAGUUUUUCCUUUUAAGAAUUUCCACAUUGACAUUUUAAGACUGUCACAGACUGGUUCUGAGGGUUUGCUAAACAUUUAGUCUUUGCUAAUUAAUUUCCGUAAAACUCAGUUUACUUAUCUUUAUAAUGGGAAAAAUAAUAACACCUUCCCGAUAUGGUGGCUGGGAGGGGAGAUUAAAAUUCUUGCCAUGAAAUUAAGACUCUCGCCAGUGUCUGGCACGAAGAAAAUGUCCGAUAAAUGUUGGCUGUUAAUACUGUUGGUAAAACUAAUAGCCUAAUAGUUUUCUCAUUGUAAAAGCAUCUCAAUAUAUAAUAUAAAAUAUUAACACGUGCAUUUUGGUGUUUGGGGGUUUCAGCCUUUUUUAAAAAAUCUCUCAUGUCCAGGAUUACAUUUUGAUACAUUUCUACCGCAUCCUUUUUUCUAAAGAGAUUAAAAACCUUUCUUCCAUUACAAGUAACAAAAAACAGACAAGCAAGAUAAAGAGAAAUAAUGGUCCCUAGACUUUUCCUUUAAAUUUUAAUAUCACAGUGCUAUUGU